rnacentral:rRNA from 1 species
AUUGAACGCUGGCGGCAUGCCUUACACAUGCAAGUCGAACGGCAGCACGGGUGCUUGCACCUGGUGGCGAGUGGCGAACGGGUGAGUAAUAUAUCGGAACAUACCCUAGAGUGGGGGAUAACGUAGCGAAAGUUACGCUAAUACCGCAUACGAACUAAGGUUGAAAGUGGGGGAUCGCAAGACCUCAUGCUCAUGGAGUGGCCGAUAUCUGAUUAGUUAGUUGGUGAGGUAAAGGCUCACCAAGGCGACGAUCAGUAGCUGGUUUGAGAGAACGACCAGCCACACUGGAACUGAGACACGGUCCAGACUCCUACGGGAGGCAGCAGUGGGGAAUUUUGGACAAUGGGGGCAACCCUGAUCCAGCAAUGCCGCGUGAGUGAAGAAGGCCCUCGGGUUGUAAAGCUCUUUUGUCAGGGAAGAAACGGUCUACUCUAAUACAGUGGGCUAAUGACGGUACCUGAAGAAUAAGCACCGGCUAACUACGUGCCAGCAGCCGCGGUAAUC